ensembl:lncRNA
GUGCUGCUGUCUCCUGUAACGCUGCAUGGUCCUAAGCUACGUUUUCUUUCUUUUUUUUUUGUUCUUGUAAUUUUUGUCCUCAGGUGCCGGUCCUCACCUCUGCAGUGCUGCUGUCUCCUGUAACGCUGCAUGGUCCUAAGCUACGUUUUCUUUCUUUUUUUUUUGUUCUUGUAAUUUUUGUCCUCAGGUGAGGUUUGAAGUGUCUGUGUUGUGCAGCUGGUCUGGUCUGUCUCUAGACAGUCCAGGCUGCACCCAUCAGUAAAUGGUGGAGGCUCACAAGGACAACACACAAGUUUCUGAACAACUCUGCGGGAGGGUUUCUCCGACGAAGUGAAGGCCGUGAGGCACAGCUCCC